rnacentral:rRNA from 1 species
GGCGCAGUAUUUUGACUGUGCUAAGGUAGCAUAAUCAUUAGAUUUUUAAUUAAAAUCUGGAAUGAAAGGUUGAAUGAAAUAAAAACUUUUUUAUUUUUAAAAAUUGAAUUUUAUUUAUUAGUUAAAAAGCUUAUUUGUAAGAAAGGGACGAGAAGACCCUAUAGAAUUUAAUAAUUAUUAAUUAAUUUAUAAAUUUUUAUUUUAUUAAAUAAAAUUUAUUUUGUUGGGGAGAUAAUUAAAUUUUAUAAACUUUAAAUUUUUAAAUCAACAAUUUUUGUUUAUUUGAUCUUAUUUUAUAGAUUAAAAAAUCAAAUUACCUUAGGGAUAACAGAAUAAUAUUUUUAAAAAGUUCUUAUUUUUAAAAAAGUUUAUUACCUCGAUGUUGGAUUAAAAUAAUUUUUAUAAGAAGAUUUAUAAAAAAUAAGUCUGUUCGACUUUUAAAUUUUUACAUGAUCUGAGUUCAAACCGGUGUGAGCCAGGUCGGUUUCUAUCU